CAGUAGCCGCGGUAAUACGUAGGGUGCAAGCGUUAAUCGGAAUUACUGGGCGUAAAGCGUGCGCAGGCGGUUCGUUAAGACAGAUGUGAAAUCCCCGGGCUUAACCUGGGAACUGCAUUUGUGACUGGCGGGCUAGAGUAUGGCAGAGGGGGGUAGAAUUCCACGUGUAGCAGCGAAAUGCGUAGAGAUGUGGAGGAAUACCGAUGGCGAAGGCAGCCCCUGGGCCAAUACUGACGCUCAUGCACGAAAGCGUGGGGAGCAAACAGGAUUAGAUACCCCGGUAGUCCCUGUCUCUUAUACA
rnacentral:rRNA from 1 species